rnacentral:rRNA from 1 species
UACGUAGGGUGCAAGCGUUAAUCGGAAUUCCUGGGCGUAAAGCGUGCGCAGGCGGCUUUGCAAGACAGAUGUGAAAUCCCCGGGCUUAACCUGGGAACUGCAUUUGUGACUGCAUGGCUGGAGUGCGGCAGAGGGGGAUGGAAUUCCGCGUGUAGCAGUGAAAUGCGUAGAUAUGCGGAGGAACACCGAUGGCGAAGGCAAUCCCCUGGGCCUGCACUGACGCUCAUGCACGAAAGCGUGGGGAGCAAACAGG